CCUAUUUGCAUUUUAAAGACCCCCAAUUAUGGUUUUCUAUCUAUUUAACACAUUUGGCUAGCAAAACAAAACUUUUGCCCCUUAUGCGAUUUAGUCCUUUUUCGUAAUUAAGCUCACAAUCGCUAAAAUUAAUUAACCAAAAUUUUCAUGCACUUGUAUAAUCAUGCUAUGGCACAUAAAAUAAUAUUAAAUAAUUUCUUUGGCCUUGGAAUAGUAGUUCCAAAACCACUGUCUCGACUAGGCCCA
rnacentral:lncRNA from 1 species